UGGAGAUACUUAGGCUCCCCAGAGAAAUUAGUCACAAGUCUUAUCCCUUCAUCUCCAUUUACAGCCAUUUAUUUGGGAGCAACAUACUUUAAAUGAGUGAUAAACAAAAUGUCUCCCCACAGCCCCCACCCCAGCAUGUGUUCUGAAGUUCACAGGAAGGCUUCUCCUCAUUUGCUUUGGGGCCCGCAGGCUGCCUGCUAACAGCUGGGUCUUCCCAUGAACAAAUUAGACAGUUAAUGUUCCAGGAUGAAGAGGGCUUCGGGGAACAGAAUCUGCCGUUUAUUUGACUUGCUUCAUUAGACACAGUGCCAUCAUACCAAAAUUAGAAAAAAGAAGGAACUCAGCGGAAAUCAGCUACACAAGAAGAACCUCUCAGUUCUGAGAAUUCACAUUAACCAGUGAUUAAGAAAUAUUAAAAAGGUAUAGUUCUUGGCUGUGCUGAGGAUCUGUAAGGCACCAGAUGUGAAAGUAAGGAAGAAAGAUGGAUGUGGAAGAAAGUCACUGCCCAGAGAAUAAGGAGACCUGGAUUCUAAUCUCAGCUCUGCCAUUAACUAGCUGUGAGACUCAAGAAUAACUAAUCAUUUUGAUAACUCGUUUUUUUACUUUUUAAAAUGAGGAGCCAAGUUUAGACAAUGAGCUCGGCUCUUCACCAGUGAUAAAGUGUCUGGGACAUGCUUCCAUUCAAGCAAUGCUCUUCCUUCUUGAUGAAACUAUGGCUCAAAAGGGAAUAAGAGAUCAAGGCAAGCAUGGACAUCUUGUACGUGGAAGUGCAGACCAGAACUUGUAUCACAGCCAGUCAUAUCUGGUGCUUUCCAUGCUACUUUUACAUACAUGUUGCCAGUAAUGAUGUUUCUGGUGAUCUGGCUCAGAAGGCUGAGCUGAUGAGUGAUCACUCAGAAAUACUGAAUCAGGCAAUGGAAAUUCUGAAUCGGUGGGCUCUGGAGAAGGAACUGAGGGCGAGGUGACUCGGGGCCGGAGGGCUAUUAUGGACUAUGGACAAGCUGAAGGCAUGGGAAGCCUGACCAGUAGAUAGAGGAAUAUGAACUUGGUGGACAGGGAAAAGCAGGGACGUCAUGAACGAAAGACCACAGACCCUCUGUUCUAGUCCAUGGGGCCAGGCUGUGCUCCACUGCCUACUCUUGGAUUCCCCAAAGAAUGCUUUAUGUCCUUAUAAUAAAUCCACCUUUCCAUGGACAAAAA
ensembl:lncRNA novel transcript